CACACCCCUGAGCUGUUAAUAGUGACCUCUCUCAAUAUGCUAACAGUGAAAUGGUAAAACGUACUUCACAGGUAAUUUCUGAAUUUUUUUUCAAUUAUCAGUGCUGAUGUUUCCUCUAUAUAGCCAAGGUACCACAAGCUCUAUAAUUAUAGCUGAUGUCCUGCACAGCCCAGAGUUUAAACUGAUAAGUGUGUGCUCUCAUAUUAUUAGAAAACAAAAACAGUGCAAAUCACUAUUGAAUUCCCACCAAACUAUUUUUUCAAGCAGUAUUUGCACCGUAAACCUUUUUUAUUUAUAUAAAGUGUGGGUGAACUUAAACUGUAUGGCUAUGCUGUGGUUCCUGUAGGCUUUGCGUGCGUGCGGGGGUCGGGGGGCCUCUAUGUCCAUCUUGCUUGGGGCCCCCAAAUUCCUUCAAACGUCCCUGAUAAUGUUACUCCUACAACCAACCUUUAAGAGGUGGGCGUAAAACAGAAGCCAUAUUCGUCUUAGCGCACCAGCACUAAUUAAUUGUACAGUAAUAGUGUUUUUAUGGUUUAUACAUAUUGAAUAUUGUUAUGCAUCUAUCAGAAUACGUUAUAAUUACAGCAAUUUCUCUUAUGAAGCUAGAUUGAUUCACAUGUAUUUUUAAAUGUGUUGUACUAAAUGUGUUUAUACUUAUGUUUUAGACAAUGGACUUUUUCGUGAAGGAAAAAUUGCAACAAUAGAAUUUCUGCCUGUUAACUGAAACAUUUCAAGGUUGGCACUAAUAAAUAGUGCUGUACAUGAAUCACGAGACAAGCCAGAAUCCACAUGUCCUGGUGCUUGGUGACAAGGAAAACUGGAACAGAAGACGAUACUACAAGCAGUCGAUCUGUGUUUUAAAACUUUUCUUUGUAUAUGACAUCUACUACCCAAAGCCCUCUGCUCCCAUUUGAGAGUUUUUGGAACACACAGUCUUUAAUAGUUUCUUCUGCACACUGUCUCCUCCUUAAAAACUUUGUAUUUUGUAAUCAGUAAAAAACUUUUUUAUUUUAUUGAUCAUCAGUAGGUCCAGCAACUGGUAUAUUUGUAUUAUUAUUACUUGACUUUAUGAUUAUUUUUUGUUUUAUUAUUAUAUGUUAGGUUCAUUUUAUUUGAAAGUCGUAAUAUUUGCCAAGUAUGGUAACCCAUAUUCGGAAUUGGGGCUCUGCAUUUAACCCACCAUUCCGGUCACAGGUCCAACUCUCUAAACAUUAGGCCACAGCUGUGAACUCUAUUUGCAUGUUUGUGUGUUUUGAUAUGAAUUGACACAUUUGUACAUUUUGAAAAUGUCAGUUGUAUUUUUACACAUUCUUGUACAUUGAAAUAAAAUAUUUUAAAAUAUA